rnacentral:rRNA from 1 species
AAAUUGAAGAGUUUGAUCAUGGCUCAGAUUGAACGCUGGCGGCAGGCCUAACACAUGCAAGUCGAACGGUAACAGGAAUCAGCUUGCUGUUUCGCUGACGAGUGGCGGACGGGUGAGUAAUGUCUGGGAAACUGCCUGAUGGAGGGGGAUAACUACUGGAAACGGUAGCUAAUACCGCAUAAUGUCGCAAGACCAAAGAGGGGGACCUUCGGGCCUCUUGCCAUCGGAUGUGCCCAGAUGGGAUUAGCUAGUAGGUGGGGUAACGGCUCACCUAGGCGACGAUCCCUAGCUGGUCUGAGAGGAUGACCAGCCACACUGGAACUGAGACACGGUCCAGACUCCUACGGGAGGCAGCAGUGGGGAAUAUUGCACAAUGGGCGCAAGCCUGAUGCAGCCAUGCCGCGUGUAUGAAGAAGGCCUUCGGGUUGUAAAGUACUUUCAGCGGGGAGGAAGGGAGUAAAGUUAAUACCUUUACUCAUUGACGUUACCCGCAGAAGAAGCACCGGCUAACUCCGUGCCAGCAGCCGCGGUAAUACGGAGGGUGCAAGCGUUAAUCGGAAUUACUGGGCGUAAAGCGCACGCAGGCGGUUUGUUAAGUCAGAUGUGAAAUCCCCGGGCUCAACCUGGGAACUGCAUCUGAUACUGGCAAGCUUGAGUCUCGUAGAGGGGGGUAGAAUUCCAGGUGUAGCGGUGAAAUGCGUAGAGAUCUGGAGGAAUACCGGUGGCGAAGGCGGCCCCCUGGACGAAGACUGACGCUCAGGUGCGAAAGCGUGGGGAGCAAACAGGAUUAGAUACCCUGGUAGUCCACGCCGUAAACGAUGUCGACUUGGAGGUUGUGCCCUUGAGGCGUGGCUUCCGGAGCUAACGCGUUAAGUCGACCGCCUGGGGAGUACGGCCGCAAGGUUAAAACUCAAAUGAAUUGACGGGGGCCCGCACAAGCGGUGGAGCAUGUGGUUUAAUUCGAUGCAACGCGAAGAACCUUACCUGGUCUUGACAUCCACGGAAGUUUUCAGAGAUGAGAAUGUGCCUUCGGGAACCGUGAGACAGGUGCUGCAUGGCUGUCGUCAGCUCGUGUUGUGAAAUGUUGGGUUAAGUCCCGCAACGAGCGCAACCCUUAUCCUUUGUUGCCAGCGGUCCGGCCGGGAACUCAAAGGAGAC